AUGCCGAGGUGAGGACACUUUCUAAAUAACUCCUUAAACCGCUCCCAUGCCUCGUGAAACUCUUCAUGUGGCUUUUGAGCACAAGAUAAAAUUUGAAUUCUCAUAUC